CCUACGGGAGGCUGCAGUGAGGAAUAUUGGUCAAUGGACGAGAGUCUGAACCAGCCAAGUAGCGUGAAGGAUGACUGCCCUAUGGGUUGUAAACUUCUUUUAUAUGGGAAUAAAAUGUUCCACGUGUGGGAUUUUGUAUGUACCAUAUGAAUAAGGAUCGGCUAACUCCGUGCCAGCAGCCGCGGUAAUACGGCGGAUCCGAGCGUUAUCCGGAUUUAUUGGGUUUAAAGGGAGCGUAGGUGGAUUGUUAAGUCAGUUGUGAAAGUUUGCGGCUCAACCGUAAAAUUGCAGUUGAAACUGGCAGUCUUGCGUACAGUAGAGGUGGGCUGAAUUCGUGGUGUAGCGGUGAAAUGCUUAGAUAUCACGAAGAACUCCGAUUGCGAAGGCAGUUCACUGGACUGCAACUGACACUGAGGCUCGAAAGUGUGGGUAUCAAACAGGAUUAGAUACCCCAGUAGUC
rnacentral:rRNA from 1 species